rnacentral:rRNA from 1 species
AUUGAACGCUGGCGGCAUGCUUUACACAUGCAAGUCGAACGGUAACAGGCCGCAAGGUGCUGACGAGUGGCGAACGGGUGAGUAAUGCAUCGGAACGUGCCCAGUCGUGGGGGAUAACGCAGCGAAAGCUGCGCUAAUACCGCAUACGAUCUAUGGAUGAAAGCGGGGGACCGUAAGGCCUCGCGCGAUUGGAGCGGCCGAUGUCAGAUUAGGUAGUUGGUGGGGUAAAGGCUCACCAAGCCAACGAUCUGUAGCUGGUCUGAGAGGACGCCCAGCGACACUGGGACUGAGACACGGCCCAGACUCCUACGGGAGGCAGCAGUGGGGAAUUUUGGACAAUGGGCGCAAGCCUGAUCCAGCAAUGCCGCGUGCAGGAAGAAGGCCUUCGGGUUGUAAACUGCUUUUGUACGGAACGAAAAGGCUCUGGAUAAUACCUGGGGCUCAUGACGGUACCGUAAGAAUAAGCACCGGCUAACUACGUGCCAGCAGCCGCGGUAAUAC